rnacentral:rRNA from 1 species
UCUCCUGGAAACGGGUGGUAAUGCCGGAUGCUCCGACAUGACGCAUGUCGUGUCGGGAAAGAUUCUAUCGGUAUGGGAUGGGGUCGCGUCCUAUCAGCUUGAUGGCGGGGUAACGGCCCACCAUGGCUUCGACGGGUAGCCGGCCUGAGAGGGCGACCGGCCACAUUGGGACUGAGAUACGGCCCAGACUCCUACGGGAGGCAGCAGUGGGGAAUAUUGCACAAUGGGCGCAAGCCUGAUGCAGCGACGCCGCGUGCGGGAUGACGGCCUUCGGGUUGUAAACCGCUUUUGACUGGGAGCAAGCCCUUCGGGGUGAGUGUACCUUUCGAAUAAGCACCGGCUAACUACGUGCCAGCAGCCGCGGUAAUACGUAGGGUGCAAGCGUUAUCCGGAAUUAUUGGGCGUAAAGGGCUCGUAGGCGGUUCGUCGCGUCCGGUGUGAAAGUCCAUCGCUUAACGGUGGAUCCGCGCCGGGUACGGGCGGGCUUGAGUGCGGUAGGGGAGACUGGAAUUCCCGGUGUAACGGUGGAAUGUGUAGAUAUCGGGAAGAACACCAC